rnacentral:rRNA from 1 species
UACGUAGGGUGCGAGCGUUAAUCGGAAUUACUGGGCGUAAAGCGUGCGCAGGUGGCGACAUAAGACAGAUGUGAAAUCCCCGGGCUCAACCUGGGAACUGCGUUUGUGACUGUGUUGCUAGAGUGUAGCAGAGGGGGGUGGAAUUCCACGUGUAGCAGUGAAAUGCGUAGAGAUGUGGAGGAACACCGAUGGCGAAGGCAGCCCCCUGGGUUAACACUGACGCUCAUGCACGAAAGCGUGGGGAGCAAACAGG